rnacentral:rRNA from 1 species
GGAAUUGCAGAAUUAGUGAAUCAUCGAAUCUUUGAACGCACAUUGCGCCCCUUGGUAUCCCGAGGGGCAUGCCUGUUCGAGCGUCAUU